GCACAAGCGGCGGAGCAUGACGGAUUAAUUCGAUGCAACGCGAAGAACCUUACCAAGGCUUGACAUACACCGGUAACGCCCAGAGAUGGGUGCCCCUUUGUGGUCGGUGUACAGGUGGUGCAUGGUUGUCGUCAGCUCGUGUCGUGAGAUGUUGGGUUAAGUCCCGCAACGAGCGCAACCCUCGUCCUAUGUUGCCAGCGGGUCAUGCCGGGGACUCAUGGGAGACUGCCGGGGUCAACUCGGAGGAAGGUGGGGAUGACGUCAAAUCAUCAUGCCCCUUAUGUCUUGGGCUUCACGCAUGCUACAAUGGCCGGUACAAAGGGCUGCGAUACCGCGAGGUGGAGCGAAUCCCAGAAAGCCGGUCUCAGUUCGGAUUGGGGUCUGCAACUCGACCCCAUGAAGUCGGAGUCGCUAGUAAUCGCAGAUCAGCAACGCUGCGGUGAAUACGUUCCCGGGCCUU
rnacentral:rRNA from 1 species